GACGAACGCUGGCGGCGUGCUUAACACAUGCAAGUCGAACGGAAAGGCCCUGCUUGCAGGGUGCUCGAGUGGCGAACGGGUGAGUAACACGUGGGUGAUCUGCCCCUUACUUUGGGAUAAGCCUGGGAAACUGGGUCUAAUACUGGAUAGGACCAUGCUGUAGGUGGUGUGGUGGAAAGAUUAGUUUCGGUAAGGGAUGAGCUCGCGGCCUAUCAGCUUGUUGGUGGGGUAAUGGCCUACCAAGGCGUCGACGGGUAGCCGGCCUGAGAGGGUGGACGGCCACAUGGGGACUGAGAGACGGCCCAGACUCCUACGGGAGGCAGCAGUGGGGAAUAUUGCACAAUGGGCGCAAGCCUGAUGCAGCGACGCCGCGUGGGGGAUGACGGCCUUCGGGUUGUAAACUCCUUUCAGCCAUGACGAAGCCCUUGGGGUGACGGUAGUGGUAGAAGAAGCACCGGCUAACUACGUG
rnacentral:rRNA from 1 species